CGAGGAUGAGCCGGCUCUUCUCUAAAAGUGCAUCACGAGUGAAGGAUCAAGAUUAAGGAGGAGAAUGUUAGGUUUAAUCUUGAUCAUGCAUCUGCAUUUUUAGUUUUAGUCAUGCAUGUAUUUGUCCAGAGGUUGUACAUGUGACGUGUACAUGGCGUGCAAAGCGAUUUGCCCAAGAUCGUCGUGCGAAGCGGCGUGUCUGGCCAGAGCUGGGAUAGUCUGUUAGUUAGUUAGUGCAUGCAUGGCCGGGUCAUGGAAAUCAUGGAGAGAUUCCAGGGUUUGUUAGCAGCCGGACGUGCGUACAUGGAGGACGUGCUGUUAGUGGCCAGUAUGGUAGCUGGGUAUGUGUGCGUCGAUGUACUACUUAAGUUGUAAUGCUGCAUAUUUACUUUCAACGCAAGAGAAUAGAAAGAGAAGAAAAGACCGGAUGUGUGAUACAGUGGCACCAAACACCUGCGUCUUUUUCCCUGUUCUUGUGAGAGCUACGUGAGGUAGAAGAAGAGUAAGAGGGGCUGGGAGAGUUAGCCCAACAUUUGAUAUCGGAGCUAGGUUGAAGAUGACGCGUGACUCUUCAGCGAGUGGAGCGUUGGAGCCGGCAGUGGCCGCGAUGACGGCGGCGGCGGCGACGGCGAUGGCGCAGCGGGAAAGCUUCCAUUCCCGCUGCUAACAAGGACGAACUACGUGGCAUGGGCGAUGAGGAUGAAGUACCUCUUGCGAGCCAACGGCGCAUGGGCUGCCGUUGAUCGCGAGACGUCGUCCAUGAAGGUUGACAAGGGCAAGGAGGAGUUGGCCAUGACGAUCAUCUCCCAGUCGAUUGACGACACGACGCUGCUGCGCGUAGCAGAGAAGGAGACCGCUGCCGAUGUGUGGGCGUCUCUACGCUCCAUGCACGUUGGUGUCGAGCGCGUCCGGGAGGCGAGGAUUCAGUCCUUGCGCUCGGAGUUUGAUGGCCUCAAGAUGGGUGAUGCAGAGUCCGUGGAUGAUUUCGCGGCGAUGUUCACGACGCUCGUGGGACGCAUCCGUGAGCUUGGUGAUCCGCUGGAGGAGAAGUACAUGGUGAAGAAGCUGUUGCGAGCCGUCUCCAACAAGUUCAUCCACGUUGCUUCGUCAAUUGCGUUGUUCGGCGACACCAACAAGAUGGCCAUGGAGGAGGCCAUUGGUUCACUCAAGGCACAUGAGGAGCUCGUCAAGGGGCGGGAGACGACACGUGAAGAGGAGCAACUUUUCAUGGUGAGAGGGGAUGACUCGUCGCGAGGACGGGGUCGUGGCCGUGGACGCGCUGGAGGGCGCAAAGACAAAAGUGAGGUACAAUAUUACAAUUGUCGUGAUUUUGGGCAUUUUGCUUGGGAGUGUCCGGAGAAGAAGAAGGACAACGAGGAGAAGGCAUUGCUCGGCAUCGAGGAUGAGCCGGCUCUUCUCUAAAAGUGCAUCACGAGUGAAGGAUCAAGAUUAAGGAGGAGAAGGUUAGGUUUAAUCUUAAUCAUGUAUCUGCAUUUUUAGUUUCAGUCAUGCAUGUAUUUGUCCAGAGGUUGUACAUGUGAUGUGUACAUGGCGUGCAAAGCGAUUUGCCGAAGAUCGUCGUGCGAAGUUUCGUGUCUGGCCAGAGCUGGGAUAGUCUGUUAGUUAGUUAGUGCAUGCAUGGCCGGGUCAUGGAAAUCAUGGAGAGAUUCCAAGGUUUGUUAGCAGUUAGUGCAUGCAUGGCAGGGUCAUGGAAAUCAUGGAGAGAUUCCAGGGUUUGUUAGCAGCCGGACGUGCGUACAUGAAGGAUGUGCUAUUAGUGGCCAUUAUGAUAGCUGGGUAUGUGUGCGUCGAUGUACUACUUAAGUUGUAAUGCUGCAUAUUUACUUUCAACACAAAAGAAUAGAAAGAGAAGAAAAGGCCGGCUGUGUGAUACAGUGGCACCAAACAUAUGCGCUUUUUUCCCUGUUCUUGUGAGAGCUACGUGAGGUAGAAGAAGAGUAAGAGCCUAAGAGGGGCUGAGAGAGUUAGCCCCAACAGGUUUUGCCUCCUUUGGUGGCGAUCACUGGUGGAAAAACAGGCUUCCGUCCAGCCCCAUAAGUCGCGAAGCUGUAGGAACCGCGACUAAUGGGACCUUUAGUCGCGGUUCUGGAGGUGAACCGCGACCAAAGGCCUGGGCCCAGGGCGCUCGGUGGCCAGCUGGUGCACGUGAGGGGCUUUAGUCGCGGUUGGCCAGGACAACCGCGACUAAAGGCCUUCGGGCACCUUUAGUCACGGUUUGCCGGGCCAACCGCAACUAAAGCCCCUCCCCUAUAUAUACCCAUCCAGCAGCCAACACUUAGCCAUUUGGAGCCAUUCUCUUCACAAGUGGAUGUAGGUUUGCUUUUGGUUCCUCUUAUGCACAUAAGGUGUUUGAUGAAAUGCCCCAAGAGCAUGAAACAAACAUGACAUGAAGUGUUGGAGCCACACUCCUCGAUCGCGGUUAGCAACUUG
rnacentral:lncRNA from 1 species